AAGAAUUGUAUAUGUAAUUGAAGUUUUAAUCCAUCUGACUCAAACCCUAUUCAAAAUUUAAAUUGCUUAGUUAGUACCUCAAACUUGUUUCAUAUGACACCUAUUAGAUCCAAAAAAAACUAUUGAACCCAAUUAAACACUUCAGAGUCUCUUCAACCCUAAUUCAAACAUUAUAAAGUUUAUUGAUUGAAAUAAAUUAAAAAAUUUCACAUCAUUAAGCAUGAAAAGGAAAAAGCAACAUAAUAAUUUCAAAGUAUGUGUAUUAAAUUAUUCCACAAAAUUGUUGAUGCAUAUUCAAUUUAAAUUCUUAUUUGAUUUCAACUUUUGAAAGAAAUAUUAAAAAUUAUAUCAUAUGAUUUCAUAAUUUGAUCAAAAUUUAAAUUGCUUAGUUAGUACCUCAAACUUGUUUCAUAUGACACCUAUUAGAUCCAAAAAAAACUAUUGAACCCAAUUAAACACUUCAGAGUCUCUUCAACCCUAAUUCAAACAUUAUAAAGUUUAUUGAUUGAAAUAAAUUAAAAAAUUUCACAUCAUUAAGCAUGAAAAGGAAAAAGCAACAUAAUAAUUUCAAAG
rnacentral:lncRNA from 1 species